rnacentral:lncRNA from 1 species
GCACAGGUGAACGUUUAGUUUGUAUCUUACGGAGAAGCUCCGAGAGCAUGAAGGGCACUGAAAUGGCUUUUCGGCUGUGUGGGUGCACAGGUGCUUCGUAAGGCUGCUAUUUUCUGCGAAGCUCAGGGAGCAUGAAGGGCACUUGUAUGGCUUCUCGCCUGUGUGGAUGCGCAGGUGGACUUUCAGGUGACCCUUGUGUGAGAAGCCCUGAGAGCAUGAAGGGCACUGAUAUGGCUUCUCGCCUGUGUGGGUGCACAAGUGAACUCUUAAG